rnacentral:misc_RNA from 1 species
CAUCCUCGGCUGGCGCCAAGCCGCAGCAGCCGCCCAAAGAAUCUCAAAUACGCAUAACAACAUCCUCCCCUCACCACGUGUCCAUUCCUUCACCGUCCAAAUUCCUUGGGGCUACUUCUCAUCCAACCGUCCUUGAACCUCCACGUCCGUCCACUGUUAUCGACAAAUAAACGGCCUAUGAUAAACCACGUGUCAUACAUGAUAUCAUAUUAACUCUCCAAUCCGACGGACCUCAACACCUCUUCCUCCUCCUCUCUCCACACAGUCACACACCCAUCUCUCUCUUUCCCUCCCGCAGUCUUCUUCUGCAAUUUGCCGGCGAUUUUCUUCGUUUCCCAAUUUACCCCUUCCCCACCCUCUUAUACCCCUUACAUCCUCUAAAACCACUGGUGAAAGUUUGAGAUUUUUGAGAUCUAACUAGGUUUUAUUUUUCUUGAAUUUUGAUUUUAAUGGCGGAUUCAGACAAUGAAUCAGGUGGGCACAACAACAGCAACACGAACAGCGAGCUGUCGGCUCGCGAACAGGAUAGGUUCUUACCCAUCGCUAACGUUAGCAGAAUAAUGAAGAAAGCUCUGCCAGCAAACGCUAAGAUCUCCAAAGAUGCCAAAGAGACGGUGCAGGAGUGCGUGUCUGAAUUCAUCAGCUUUAUUACCGGAGAGGCUUCCGACAAGUGCCAGCGCGAAAAGAGGAAGACGAUCAACGGCGACGAUCUGCUUUGGGCCAUGACUACGCUAGGGUUCGAGGAGUACGUGGAGCCCUUGAAGAUUUAUUUGCAGAAGUAUAGGGAGAUGGAAGGAGAGAAGAGCUCCAUGGGCAGGCAAGGAGAAAAGGAUGGUGCUGGUGGGUCUGGUGGAGGUGGUGCCGCUGCUAGUGGAGGUGGGUCUGGUGGAGGGGUGAGUUCAGGCGGUGUUGGUGGAGCAGGAGGAGGGUUUAAUGGCGGUGGUCAAGGUAUGUAUGGAGGGAUGAUGAUGAUGGGGCAUCAUCAAGGGCACGUGUACGGCGCCGGUGGGUAUCAUCAUCAGAUGGGUGUUGGAAAAGGUGGCUCCGGCAACUCGAGGUAGGUGUUAACGACGAGGGUCGUUUUGGGUUUAGUAUUUACUAUAUUCUUAUUCCUUAUUACGAAGAGAUUAAUUAACUUGGUUGGGUCUUCUUUUAGUUUUCUUGAUGAUGGGGAAACAUUGAAGGGAUCAAAUAAUUACUAUAAUAUUGCUUAGUGCUAAGUAUGUACGUAACAUAGAGAGAGUGCUAAUUGAGAGGGGAAUUGUAGAAGGAAGAACUUCAAAAACUAUUUGUAUGAUAAGCAUUAAUGAAAAGAAAAAAAGAAGUUUGUUUCUUUGCCUUGUUGUUUUGUUUCUUGAUAUGGAAUCCAUGAGAGUUGGGGAAAUAUGGGAAUAGUUGAAGUGACACGCUUUGAGUUUUCUGACACUUGGUAAAGAAAAAGAAUGAAAAUUAAAAGAAGUCUUUGUUUAUUUGGGCAAUGGACACGUUUCUCUUUGAGGAAAGUUUAGGAAUUUGGGUCCUAAGCUUGCCAUUUGUCACUUGUCUAUGUUUUGAAGCCCAGUACUAAGAAUAGAAGAUAGUUCCAUUGACUUCUAAAUCCAGAAAAUUUUUCAUAGAUUUCACCAACGUAUCUUUCUGGUAAACUCCAUUUCUAGGUCACCAGCAGCUAGUUUGGGAAAAAAAUUUUUUUUUUCUUCUUUCUGGAGCUUGUUAUGUGAUAUAUUAAUUAAGAUGCAGCAAGAUCAUUUCGGAAGUGCGCCAUCACCUUGUUGAUCAAUUGUCAACUUUCUCAAGUUCUUGCACGUCAUUCUUGUCUCCCAUUCUGUGCCCACCUGCAUUGUUUUCCUCUUUUUUGUUGGAGAUCAAGUGUCUUUUGCUAUGAAAAGAAGUGUUGGAUAUAUCCUUGUAGGCUUAAGAGCACCAUUCCAGAGAUUUUCCAAAGGACACUUUUAAAACUUAGACAAUGAUUGCUACUGCUCUAUCCGUGUGGUUGCAGUUUCUUCUGAUCAAGAUAAAAAAAGUUAAAAAUCUUUUACACUGCUCCAUUUCUUUCCUGGGUUGAUCUUCGGUUCUUCAAUCUUGACCCAAGGAUUAAGAAAUGUAGAAAAAUAAAUUAACGAUGAGAAAAAGAGUUCCAGUUGGGACCUACCAAGCGCGCCACAGUACAAGCAAAGGACCAGUCAUUUUGACUAGGUGUGGGCUGGCGGAAGACUUUGUCAAAGGCCGAGAAGAAAAGUGAUUAAAAAAGUAAUUAAAAGAGAGUGGGUGUCGUUUUCAAUAGAUAAUGCUCUAUUUAAUCAAGUGUUUAGUGGAUGGGUCCUUUUCUCUUGGGCUAUAAUCAGAGAGAAAAGAGAGCACAUCACCUUCCGCAGAAGCUGCUCUCUCUCUCACUGAUAUAUAGAAAACACCUGAAAUUUCUUUUAAGCACUUAGUUGUAAAAAUUAAUUUAUAUAUUCAGUCAAUUAGAAAUUAU